UAAAAUCCCUAGGUUAAGUGGAGCUUGGUUUGGAAACCAAUGGUGUAGAGUACAAGCCUCGUAUUUACACGAAAUGUUGUUUGAAUCUUAGUAAUACCAACUUUCCCAAUAGGGAUUGUGUGUAAGUGCUCCCAGAGCAGGGAAAUAUAUUUUGACGAUGGGAGGUGGAGGGAACCUGCUCAUUAGCAGGCUUUUGUAAUAAUGGUGUUCGUUGUUUGAGUUCUGUUAUCGGAGAGUUAGUCAGAGAGAAUUUUUUUUUUAAUUUUGCUAAUAUUUGGUAUUACUGUCAUAUCUCCAAGUGCUUCAUAACCUACAACAGACUUACUUUUUCACCUUCAUACUCACACCAAACAAAACUGUUCUUUUACAUUUUGUGAUGUCGUGAUCACUCAUUUAACUGCAACUUUAAACGAUAGUGACAGAGAAGACUUUAAGAAACAGCAAGAAUACUUAACUGUACGAUGACUUAUAUUUAUGCGGCAGCAAUUUGGCCCUUUCGUGUGCCCAAGAGUCAGGGUCACAUCAGUUAUACUCGGUGUCCCGCCCACCUACCUGAACCGGUCAGCAGUCCUGUUCCAAGCCACAAUUUUAAAUAUUUAUAUGACCAUGCUUUAUCCAGCAGUUUUGGGUUUGAAAGAAUGGCCUGGAAACAAAUUAUUGUCACAUUAUGAAAUAAUGAGGUAAUUUCAUUUACAUACAGUGUAGAAUGACUAUAAAUUUUCUUUACACUUUUAAAACAUUCUAAAAACUAAUGUAAGCAUUGUAAAUAAUGACGUGUGUUGUUUUUAGACGAUGGACAUAGUCCAAGAAUUUGGUGAUGGUGAUUGUAACACGCAUUUGUCAGUACCCUUUAAAAUUAACUCUGUGAAUUGGCUCAGGAUAUAAUUCAUUGAUGGGCUAUGGUAAUAAUCCUCAGAGUUAGAUGAAAUGUAUAGAAUUUGUUGAUUGGCAGAGUGAGUCUGGUUCUUAGACUCUUCUGCAUAGAGUUAGUAAUUUGAUGAAUACUUAGUAGGAAGAUGGGAGAACAGUGGUCAUUUAUUCAUUAUCUAUGGUUAGGUUAGUGGUGAAGUCCUGUUUCAUUUUCUCUCACCUCAACGUAUGCUGGAUCUGUCAGAUGAACACAAAGUUGAGGUCCUAACCAAUAGCGGGAUAUAGCUUCAUAUUCGUUUGACAAUCGAAUCACAUUAUUAAAAAUUUCUGUAAAGUAAAAAAAAGUGCAACAGAUGUAAGAUUUAAGAUGUAACUGUCAUCUGUGUGCAGAGCUGAAUUACCAUGGCACUAGAUUCUAAACAUAAAAAAACAAUAUUUCAUCAUGUCUAACUAAAUUAAAAUAAAAUGUAAACAGUCCCACUAUACGCCAUGUAGGCACUUGUGGGGAGGGGAGGUACUGCCCACUUCUUUUGAAGACUGGUCUUCAGAUUUAUUGAUUGUUAUAACGAAACAAAGUUUAGUGGUGAACUUAAAACGUUUAAAUUGAGAAGGGAAGUUAGACGGUAAUGUAUUAGUGAUAUUCUGGGAAUAGUUUUUUUCUGUUUGUAUAUUCUGAUUUUGCGAGUAAUUUUCAUCGUCAAAAGAACAACUUUGGCAUUGUAAUUGUUGUUUUUAGUUCACUUGUCUUCAGUCGUAUACCGCAAAUACUUUUUAGUGCACAGAAAAUACAUCUUAACCAGAACCCGAACACAGGACACGUUUCUUCUCGGUUGUGAUGUUUGUGUCUCAUCUCGCCGAAACAAACAAUAUUUGUCUUGUCGGUAUUACUUUAUUGUGCUCAGUUUCUGAGCUACUAAAGUCAUCCUCACUGGGACUCGAACAGAGGAAAAUUCUUCGAAGUUAAUCUUCCCUCCAAAACAAAUUUUAUACUGACGCCAUUUUUCCGUCAUGUUUGGCUUCCGAGCCAAAGAUAUUAUCAUCGCCAGGAACCAAGCCUUUGUUCGUGUAAUCUCACCCUUCUGAAGCUAACAACUUUGGUCAUGACGCCUUCUAUCGUGCAUUGUUUCCAACCUAAAGAAAAUUAAGUUCCCGGAAAACCACCGUAGAAGAUGUAUUUUAUUACUUAACACACUGAUGGUUGCUGUCACCUUCGAAGCAGUGUCCUUGCGCACUAAUGCACAUAAUGAAUCAGUGUUUCCAACGUCGAGAACAUAUCUGGAGCUCCUCUUCUGGACUGCUCUUCGUGAUGGUCGUCGCAUGUCUUGAUUGUGGGCAACAUCUUAAAAUAUUUAUUAUGUCACAGAAAGUAUGGGAAUUCUGAUUUUACAGUAUUUUAAUAUUAUACGAGAAAAAAGUUUUCAUUAAAAUGAAAAUUGUGAUUGUAUUCUUCUGUAUUGUCAUACUAUGAAGUAUUAUAGGUGGUUAUCAAUGUUUUGGAAGAACUUACCACAUCCACUUUCAGGGAAAAAGUCUAUCCUAAAGAUUGAUGUGAUAAGUGUCCCUAAAAAGGUGGUAACCACUUAACAUAACUGUUCAGAUUCUAACACAUAAUUAGUAUAACUGGACUAUUCAACAAAAUAUAUUUUACAACAUUUUUCA